rnacentral:misc_RNA from 1 species
CCGUCGGGAGUUCGCUGCAACACAUCGACGGCUUCCGCAUCUUCUCAGGCCAAGGUUUUUGUCCCGCGAGAAUGGAAUCUCUAUUUGUAGGCUUGUCUUAUAACAAGCCAAAAAAAUCGGUGGCAACCGCAAUAGUUCGAGAAGACUAUAUUUGCACGCAAGGUGAUCUUGCUCUCAUCGAUUUUAUCAAGGAAAUCCCUUGUGAACCAAGGGUAGAAGUCGUUCUUAUUGAUGAUGCCUUUGUUGAAAGGAAGUGGAUGGAGUGUUUAUUUCAGCCGAGCGCAUAUCUAGGUGACGAGGUUAUAGACUGUUACAUAAAUUUGAUAAAAGCUCAAAAGCAUCUAAAGUGCCGAUCUGGAGGUCGCGUUCACAUAGAAAAUGCUUUCCAGUUCAAUUUCCUGAAGCGAGAUGGUGAUCUUGAAAUUAAAACAGAGGAGCUAUAUCCAAUUAAAGACAUGGCACACAUAUGUAGCGCUGAACGAAGGGUGUUACUUUACCUAGACCAUGACAU